rnacentral:RNase_P_RNA from 1 species
AGCAGACUGCGCGGCCGCGGCGUAUGUAAAAUACGACGAGGAAAGUCCGGGCAUCGCAGGGCAGGACGCCUGAUAACGUCAGGUGAAGGCGACUUCAAGGAAAGUGCAACAGAAAUAGACCGCCGAUUUUCGGCAAGGGUGGAAAGGCGAGGUAAGAGCUCACCGACGGGACGGUAACGCCCCGUGCCAUGUAAACCCCGUCCGAUGCAAGGUUGGGCUGCGUUCAUAUGGGUUGCCCGCCCGAAUGCAGCCGCGAAUACUGCUUGAGCGUAUCGGUGACGAUACGCCUAGAUAAAUGACCGCGCUCGACAGAACCCGGCUUAUAGGUCCGU